rnacentral:tRNA from 2 species
GCCGGGGUGGCGGAACUGGUAGACGCGCCGGAUUCAAAAUCCGGUGAGGGUGACUUCGUGCCGGUUCGAUUCCGGCCCUCGGUACCA